rnacentral:rRNA from 1 species
UGGGGAAUAUUGCACAAUGGGCGCAAGCCUGAUGCAGCCAUGCCGCGUGUGUGAAGAAGGCCUUCGGGUUGUAAAGCACUUUCAGCGAGGAGGAAGGGUUCAGUGUUAAUAGCACUGUUCAUUGACGUUACUCGCAGAAGAAGCACCGGCUAACUCCGUGCCAGCAGCCGCGGUAAUACGGAGGGUGCAAGCGUUAAUCGGAAUUACUGGGCGUAAAGCGCACGCAGGCGGUUUGUUAAGUCAGAUGUGAAAUCCCCGCGCUUAACGUGGGAACUGCAUUUGAAACUGGCAAGCUAGAGUCUUGUAGAGGGGGGUAGAAUUCCAGGUGUAGCGGUGAAAUGCGUAGAGAUCUGGAGGAAUACCGGUGGCGAAGGCGGCCCCCUGGACAAAGACUGACGCUCAGGUGCGAAAGCGUGGGGAGCAAAACAGGAUUAGAUACCCUGGUAGUCCACGCUGUAAACGAUGUCGACUUGGAGGUUGUGCCCUUGAGGCGUGGCUUCCGGAGCUAACGCGUUAAGUCGACCGCCUGGGGGAGUACGGCCGCAAGGUUAAA